AUUGAACGCUGGCGGCAUGCCUUACACAUGCAAGUCGAACGGUAACAGGUUAAGCUGACGAGUGGCGAACGGGUGAGUAAUAUAUCGGAACGUGCCCAGUCGUGGGGGAUAACGUAGCGAAAGCUACGCUAAUACCGCAUACGAUCUACGGAUGAAAGCGGGGGAUCGCAAGACCUCGCGCGAUUGGAGCGGCCGAUAUCAGAUUAGGUUGUUGGUGAGGUAAAAGCGCACUAAGCCUGCGAUCUGUAGCUGGUGUGAGAGGACGACCAGCCACACUGGAACUGAGACACGGUCCAGACUCCUACGGGAGGCAGCAGUGGGGAAUUUUGGACAAUGGACGCAAGUCUGAUCCAGCAAUGCCGCGUGCAGGACGAAGGCCUUCGGGUUGUAAACUGCUUUUGUACGGAACGAAACGGUGAGCUCUAAUACAGUUUGCUAAUGACGGUACCGUAAGAAUAAGCACCGGCUAACUACGUGCCAGCAGCCGCGGUAA
rnacentral:rRNA from 1 species